rnacentral:lncRNA from 1 species
CCUCCCAGAGGCCGUUUGUCCAAGUCACGUGAUCGUCGAAUCUGUUGACCUGGCGCCACCGGAAAAAGAAAUUCCCGGGCCCUGGCUUCUUGGCCUGAUGGUGAGGCACCAGAGGUGCUAAAGUGGAGGGCCUCCCAUGGGGUGUUCAGCCUGGGUGUGUAGAAGCACACAGUGUGGUACAGAGGACCCUCUCCAGACAGGUAAGUGGAGGGCGGUUCUCCCUGACCCCACCCCAAUUGUUUGUUCUGGGUGGGGUCCACCGCGCCCCCUGCCAAGGCCUUCUGCAAACACUCCCCAGGGGCUGUUGUGGGCAGCACCUGGGUGGUGCAGUUGGUGUGCCAGAAAAGCUCCCCAGUACUGGGCAGUGGCCCAGGCAGUCAAGCAGACUCCCUCAAGCAGGCCCCACCUACCCCUCGCCUGUUCCCAGCUGCCUCCCACCAACCCUAGAAAUGAUGCUGGGAGCUGACAGAAACUGAACUUAGGAGCACAGGAGGCCAGGAGACCUGGGACAGAGAACAGGAGGUGACCCCUCAUGCUGCUGCUCCCUCUGCUGAAACCCAAACUGCAAACCUCUCCUCUCCCUGCCUUCACCUUGCCCCACGGCUUCCACAGACAGUGCCUCAACCCCGAGGAAUGAAUCCGAAGUUCCAACACCACUGACUUUCCCAGGAACUCAGAGCCAGAGAGGGCCAAGGACCAGCUCGAGGACACACAGCCAGGGCUUCUUCCCUCCGAAACCCCCAAGGACUGGACUUGCAGGGCUGGGACAGAGGUGGGGUGGGGGAAAGCAAUGCCUUGUCAACCCACGUGGGGAGCCCCACUCCCAUCCCCAAGGUGCAUAAAGUUGAGGAACACCCCUGCUCCCACGUCCAUGCUCAUUCAGGGCCCUGCUCCAA